rnacentral:lncRNA from 1 species
UCGACGAGGGCGACCUGCCCUCCCUGCUCCGCCUCCUCGACCCCUCCGCCCACUCCCUCCUCCGCGACCGCGCCGUCGCCGCCAUCUCCCACCUCGCCACCGCCUCCGACGCUUCCCGCCACGCCGUCUUCGAGGAGGGCGCCCUCGGCCCCCUCCUCCGCCUCCUCGACUCUGGACCCGCCGCCCUGAAAGAGCGCGCCGUUGCCGCGAUCCACGCCAUGACCGCCGACCGCGCAUGCGCCUGGGCCGUCUCCGCCUACGGCGGCGUGUCGAUCCUCGUCGCCGCCUGCCACACCGGAUCCGGCUCGCCCGCCGUGCAAGCCCUCGCCGCCGGAUCCCUCAAGAACGUGGCUGUCAUCGAGGACAGUAGGGCCUCCAUGGCGGAGGACGGCGCCGUUCCGGUCCUCGUCGACCUUCUUGUCUCCGGGAAUCUCGAAGCCCAAAAGAAUGCCGCCCUCUGCCUCGCCUCCCUCGCCGUGAUGGGCGGCUCCGAGAUCCGCGCCGCCAUCCUCCAAGAGGGUGGCCUACGCCGUCUCCUCCAGUUUCUCCGCGACGCAUCGGACCCGGAGGCCAUAGAUCACGCCCUGAGAGCGAUCAGCGCCCUCUCCGCCUCUCCCGCCGCCGCCAAGCUCCUCUCUUCGUCCCCAUCUUUCUUCGCCCAACUGACGGAUCUGAUAAAGCGCGGGAGCCUCGCGAGCCAGCAGACAGCGGCGUCCCUGGUCUCCGAUCUCGCCCCAGGCGAAGUCAUCAAGCGAUCCGUAGCGGAGUCGAUACCGGCGCUGGUCAAGAUGAUGGAGUGCUCGAAGCUGGGGAGCGCGCAGCAGGCGGCGGCGGGGGCUCUGACGUCGUUGCUGGCGGUGCCGUCGAAUCGGAGGGAGCUGUCGAGGGACGAAAAGAGCGUGACGAGGUUGGUGCAGAUGCUGGACCCGAGGAACGAUGCAGUCGGGAAGCAGCUCCCGGUGGCGGUUGUGCUCGCAAUGACGGCCGGCCGUGGCGGCGCUCGGAAGCGGAUCGGGGAGGCCGGGGCAUGCCAUCAUUUGCAGAAGCUGGUGGAGGCCGACGUCCCCGGGGCCAAGAAGGCGUUGCAGCGGAUCUCCGGCGGUCGGCUCAAGCAGUUGUUCUCCAUCGGGUGGCCUCAUUGACGAUUAGGCCCCCCAAAUCUAGCCAUCAAAGGUAAUUAAUUACUUGCAGGAUUUUUAUUUUGUGGAUUUGGAUUGGAUUGAAUCCAUAUUGUUAUUUUGGUUUCAGGUUAUUAAUGGCGGGAAUGGAAAGGUGAAGAAUAAGAGAGAAGCAAAGGAAAAAAAAGGUAUGUGUGUGUAUGUGUUUUAUUAUUGCAAAUAGAGUAUAAUGAGCCAUUGGAUAGAGGUUAGGUACAGUGACGACAAGAAGCAUGCAUGCCAUGGAUGCGGAGUUUUAGGUGUAUCCUUGUGCUAUUUGUUCUGCUAGAUUUUGUUGCGUUUAUUAUUAGAUUCUCUCUCUCUCUCUCUCUAUAAAUAUAUAAUAUGUAAAUUUGUUUGCUGACUUACAUAAAACAAUGUGGAUUAUGGGUUUGUUUGCUCCGUGUAACUCUUAACACUCAUGCUUGGUUGGGGAAUUGAUGCAUCUUUUCGGAUGGGGUUUAAUGCUAGAUGUAAUGUCGUUACCACAUCAUCAUCAUAAUGAUAUGAGAAUGGUCGAUGAACGUGUGGAUUCCAAUUUGAUAGAUGAUGAGUUGUUCCUCGAAAGCCAUACAGUGAAGGAAAGUUAGGAGAAGGAAAGCCAUACAGUUUAAACAAACCCGGGAAGCAAGUAAGGCAGCACUGUUUGUAGCCAUCGCUGUUAACUUCACCUUUUUAGCUUUCUUUCUUAAAAGUAUCUCUUUACCUGUAAUUGUUUGUUCUCUUUGAAUCUAUCUGUUGCUCAAUGAGUAGUAUUUUUUUUACUGAAAAAUAUAUAUAUGUGUCAUAAUAAUUUUUUAUAUGAAGAAAUAUAUAUAUGAUUGCUUAUAGAUAUGAAGAAUUAAAUAUUUUCAUAUUUAAUUUGUUUUUAUUCUCCAAAUAAUCUAAUUUCGAAUAUAUAAAAAUACUCCCACCAAUAGCAGAGACGACGGUGGGGGAUUGCUCUCUCUCUCUCUCUCUCUCUCUGUGGCUCGAGUCUUUUUGGACACCACCUGGGAGCUCAGAGAAAGCAAACUUUUCUUUCCCACCACCGUCUCUGCUGCCAGUAAAGCAACUGCACCCGCGAGCUGUAAAGCCGCAUCCCCCAACGCUUAACCUCGCCGCUCCCCCUUUCGCUGUUGCCAUCUCCUCCCCUCUCCCGCCAUCACUGUCAGUCGUCAUCAUUUUGCCUGCGCCGGCCACAAACCGCCGCUGCUUUGCUUUAUUGGCUGUGUGAACUGCCGCAUGGAGCGCACAAAAAGAGAAGAAAACAUGACUUCACGCUGAGGUCUAAUUUGCCCCUGCAACAGCCGCCCUCCUCUUCAAUGCACCGACCUACCAACCAUUGCUUCUCGUGGCAUAAAUGGGUUAGGAUUAAUAAUCUAUUAAAUAUUACAAAUAGAUUGUUAAUCAUCUGUUCCUCGAUUGUGAUCGAUAUCUUUUUUCUUCUUCUUCUUCUUCUUAUUACAAAUCUUAACUAUGAGAGAAGCAACAUAAACUUUGUACAAUCUGCAUUGGCAUUGUUCGUUCGAGCACUCGAGAAGAGAGAGAACAAAACGAUUAAGGAUUAAAUGCUGCUGGUGUUGGAAGUACAAAAACAUCUCAACAAAACCAUGCCGUGCGUCUCAUAGCAGAAGCCCAAACCUGUGUAUCCAUCUCACACACCAAUUCCGACAACGACCUGAGAGAAGCAACAUAAAACUUUUGUGACUGCCGACGAACGAUGCAGAUUGUAGUAAACUGGUACACAUUCACAUGUAUAAACCUUCAGUUUACGAUACUUUUGGAGCCUCGAGUGGCACACACAGAAGAUAAUUUGGAGGAUAGAAAUUGAGCAGCGACUAAAGAGAGUAGUUCUACUUGAAAACCUAAGAUAUGCUCUACACUGUUAGAAGAAUGCAAUCAAGAAUCUAUACGCAGAUAGAGAAAAAAAGAAAAAGAAUGAUCUGAAUCAUGGAGACUGGUGGCUUCAAGAGAUCCCAAUUGUCUUGCCCAAAAACCACAGGAACAAAGUAAUUUCCAGCAUAAAUAAAUAUGGUGUGAAGCCAAGCCCGGUCCACCGUGAAGCCUAAUAUGGUGAUCCCUGCCCUGUUGUUCUCCAGAUAUGUCACUGUAAUAACGUUAAGAAACAUUGAUGAGUGAAAUAGAGGCCGACAGAGGACUAAGAGAAGAAUCUCAUCCCAAAGAUUGAAAUUUGAAGGAGUCCACAACUUAAUAAGAUUAUAUUUUGGGUUGAAUUAGUGUCAGUCUCAUCUAUGUUAACUUGACUAAGACUAAUCAUCGAUUUCUGCAUGUUGUCAUAGCUAAGAAUAAAAAAAAAUGAAAACGAAAAGACCUAGAUAGAAAUUGAAAGUGGAUGCUUACACUUUUGAAUUGAAUUGGUGCCAAUCUCAUCUACGUUAACUUUCACUAAUUCAUCAAUUUCAACACAAUUGAAGCAGAGUUAAACCAGAGUUUGCUAGGUAAGCCCAAACAGUCAGGUAACGAAGGAGUGCUUAAUACCAAAUGAUUUCAGAGAUUUACCGAAUGCUUGUCUCUUUUGGAAGAAAAUGGUGUGACCAUGAUGAUGUACGAUCUUCAUGCAUUCCAGUUCCUCAUCCGAGUCACACUAGCCGUUAAGCACAGGGAAUUCAGAAUCGGAUUUGGAGAUAUCUAUAGCAAACGACUCGAUGGUUGCACAAACGUGCCAUUUUGAAGCAUGGUUUGUGAGUGCUUGGGCUUUAUCUGUGAUUUCGCCAUGCUGCAUGAGCAUAUGACCAAUCCGAUCACAAGCAGAAUUGCGUAGAGCCGCAAGUACACAACCAAAAAUAUACUAUUCAAUGACUCUGAUUAAACAUGGGCAUUGCUUCAGGUUAGAUCAUGCUGCUGUUUCUUCCGAGCAUGAAUGACAAGUUCUGCAUGCGAUCAACGAAGCUCAAAUCAAAAUCACAGCCUGAAUAAGAUAACCACUUAGUGAACUUGCUUUUCAGCAAAGGAAGAAGGCCAUUGUGCAUAGCAUUUAUGGGUUGUGCCAAACAAUCAAAGUAUAAUUUUUUCGCUAAUGUGUCCAUAUAUCUCUUUCUUAUUUUUCAGCACUGAUGCUUUAACUAAAACACAGAUCCACUAAAAGAAUAAAGAAAGGCCAACUUGUGUUUUCAGAGAAAAACUAUAGAGAACACUGCAUAUAUCUUCGUACUACACCUUUAAAAUUAGGUUCAACACUUUCCAUCUUAAUCUGCAAAAAGGAAAGCUUAGAGAAUGCUAAAGCCUCAUUUCAUGCCGAGUGGAUAGCUUAACGAAGGCAUCCUUUGAUUGUAGUAAGUUCUAGCAAUUCAUUCCCUAAUUGGAAGUAAAGUUAAGCACACUAACGAAGCUAUUUUUUUCACAAAUUCAUUCCCAUUGUUUCUGGAGAUGCCAAUUAUCAUGCCCAUGAUAAUUUCAGUUAUGAUGGAGUCAUGGAUUCGUGACAACAAAUUGAAAGGAGGUGUUAGUGUAAACAACUUUGUGCCGUGGCCUCGGGGCCGACGUGGCUUGUUUCGGGGCCGAAUGGCGGGGAUCUUUGCUCGAGGUCUCUCGGGAUUGCUGGGGUGACCGGGCGCGUGGACCGGAUCACGUCUGGGUUCGUCGGGAUGUCCCGUGGGGAAGGCGUCCUCUCCUUGCGUCCCGGGGAAAUAGCUCUGUCUCCUUACCUGCACACAGGUCGGGUCGGAAGCUCGGCCCGACCCCUCCNNNNNNNNNNNNNNNNNNNNNNNNNNNNNNNNNNNNNNNNNNNNNGGUCUCGGGGAGCAUGGAGCCGAGGAGCACGGCGCAGGCGGGUUGGCCGCGCAGGUGUGGUCUCGAGCAACAUGCGGCCGAGGAGCACGACGCAGGCGGGCAGGCCCCGCAGGUGUGGUCUCGGGCAACACGUGGCCGAGGAGCACGGCGCAGGUAGGCUGUGGCCCAGGGGUAUGGCUCAGGCGGGCAGGCCGCGCAGGCGUGGUCUCGGGUGAUAUGAGGAGCACAAAGCAGGCGGGUUACGGCCGAGGGGUAUGGCUCAGGUGGGCAGGCCGCGCAGGCAUGGACUCGGGCAGUCUGCGGUCGAGGAGCACGGCGCAGGCGAGCUUCGCUCGGAAGAGACUGAGGUGGGGCCUAGAUUUCUUUUCACGAGGACUACAUCGGAUAGCCACCGCGGGUGCUUGACCUCUUCUAUGGAGCCCGCUGCCAAAAGUCGUCCCUUCUCACAGCUACCCAGGCCUCCGUCGCGAUGUACUGUUAGCCCGCUGGAGCAUAUCUGGUACCGUGGUGGGGGGUCGCUCCAUGAGGGACCAGAGGAAUCUGGAAGGUCGCAUGCCUAUCAUAAACGCCUUUGGUUGAGUCCGAGGAGCAGUGCAACGAACGGCUUUUGCCGGGCGUAGGCCAAGAAGUUAAGCUCGAAGUCUUUGACGAGCUGAUCAAAGGAGGCGAUCAUCCCGGUCUUCAGACCGCUGUACUAUGUACGGGCUGGCCCCCUCAGAGUCGUGGGAAGCGCCCUGCACAUCAAAGCGUCAGAGGUUCCAUAUAGCGCCAUUUGGGCACGGAAAGCGGCUACGUGGUCUGCUGGGUCAGUGGCGCCGUCAUAUGCGUCCAGAGAGGGGAGCCGAAAGUUCGGGGGGACUGUCUGAUCUUGUAUCUCGGGCGCGAACGGAGACCCUUGGUGUGCGUCCUCCCCGAGCUCUCCCUUUGACUUGCGAACCUCCUUCUCCACUUCGUCGAGCCGCUGACUGACAAAGCGUAGCUGGGCUCGCAGGGAGUCCGUUGAAUCCGAAGAUAAUGCCUCGGGUUCCGGGCGACCGCUCGGGUUUGCCAUCACUUGAUCCCCGAGUGGGGCCGAUCGGACCCGAGGCGAAGUGGGGAGCUCCGGAAGUGGCGUGUGGGCCCGAACGGGCGGCUCCUGUUGCUGCAGUGGUUGGAUCGCAAGCGGGUGCGCCGGAUGAGAAAUGAGCGGGAUAAUGGUUUGCACCAUACCCGUCAGAGCUCGGACUUGAUGAGCGAGGUCCUGAAAGGCCUCGGAUUACACGGGCGACGGGUCAGCUAGGGCUCCUUUGGGCGGCGACCAACCCUGGUCGUUGAAUAACCGCCAAUGGCGCUCUGAGGUCACGGCGGGGUGCUCAGCUCGAGGUUCUUCACGCGGGGGGUGUUCCCUCGGAGCUCCGAUCUGGUGUGACCCCUCAGCCGCGAGCUCGUCUGAGUCGAUUGGGCGAUCCCUUGACAUUCGAGCCCUCCUUCUAGCGCCAAAAUGUUAGUGUAAACAACUUUGUGCCGUGGCCUCGGGGCCGACGUGGCUUGUUUCGGGGCCGAAUGAUGGGGAUCUUUGCUCGAGGUCUCUCGGGAUUGCUAGGGUGACCGGGCGUGCGGACCGGAUCACGUCUGGGUUCGUCGGGAUAUCCCGUGGGGAAGGCGUCCUCUCCUUGCAUCCCGAGGAAAUAGCUCCGUCUCCUUACCUGCACACAGGUCGGGUCAGAAGCUCGGCCCGACCCCUCCNNNNNNNNNNNNNNNNNNNNAUCCGGGAUGGCUGACGUCUGCACGAGUCUUGUCACCAUUUAUUAUCCUCAUCAGGAGGUCAUAAUCAUUUCGGUUCUGAUUGAUGAUCAAGUUUGAUUUGCCACCAUGAUAGUUUCAGUUGGUUGAAUGUCGAAAAUGGAGCGACUAGUGAAAAACAAAAAGAUGCUUUGGGAAAAAACUAUUCGUGAAAAGUCCAGCUGCCUCAUAACAACAUCUUAUUUUCUUGAUAAAAGGCUCCUCAUAGUCAAAUCAAAACAAUAGAUGGUCAAUCUGAAUAUGAAAUCUUCUACUCAAAUUCGCAACUUGUGGGUCUUGUACUCCUAUCAAGUUUAGGAACUAAAUUACAUGCCACAAGAGGAGGGAGACAGUGAUUGUCAAGUAGGUGAGCUGGUGGCAAUGCAUUCGCAACCAUCCACUUUGGGAACAAGAUGAAUUUAAGAGCCAAUUUAGAGUGUUAACAUAACAACCCAAUGUAAUCCCAUACGUAACAGGAGAAUUAAGUUGAUUUAUAGACUAUGAGUGUUUAUUAUCAUUAACUCGGACUUCAAAUAUUUUGGUUAAUGAUAUAUGCCUAUCAAGUAGCCAUUACACUUAAUUUACGUAUUUUAGGUAGGUCAGAUCAUAACAAACAAAAUUUUACAAAGGAUCAACGGUGAAAAUAAGAUUGGAUGUCAGCUAGUUUAGUCGGUAAAGACUUUAUCUGUUGAUAAUAAAUUUUGAAUCCCGUCUUCACUACUCAUUCUUAGUGAAAAAAAAAAAUCCCAAAACCUUAUAAUGUAUCGAUAAAGUCCUUAUAUAAGAGAAUUGGUGAUAUGAUAUUUGUUCAAAGAGAAUAGUGAAGGACAAAUUUAAAACAAAUUUUCAAUUAAUUCCUACUAAUCGUAUGCCUACACUGAGAUUGUUUUUCCCUUUAUUUACAUUUUCAAAUAGGUUUUUUGUCCUUUAUUUUUCUUAAUCUAUUUAAGGUAGUCCCUGUAGUUUUCUCUUUUUUAGGUCUUUCAUGCUUGAGAUGAACUUUCUUUUACCAAUUAAAAGAAACAUAAAAGAAAAGAAAUAGAUGGUUAUAUAGAUUGACAAAAAUAAAAGCCCCUUUUGAGGGGAGAGAAAAGCAAGAAAAGCUCACCGCGAGCUCUCCGGCGUUGAAGAGGCUGUCAUAGGAGCGGUGGCGUGUGGUGACGAGAACCGCCGCAAAUUGGCUCGCCGUCACCAUCACCAUCAAUGAACACCCGGCAGAGGUGGCUGAUGGACUCUGAACUGCCUCCUCAGGCGGAGGUGCUCCCUGAGCACCGCCAUCACCUCCGACUCCUUCCGGAACACCGCCGCGAACUCCUGAAGCCGCAGGAUCUGGAGGUGGCAUAUCGACGGGAACGUCACGCAGACCACAAUGAAGCGGCGCGGUAGAUCCACGACGCCAGCUCCAGCGCGCAGGCGACGCACCCGGUGGCCACGGGGUUCCCCAGUAAAGAGCGUACCAACAGAGGUUGCAGGCGACCUCGGCGGGAUGCAAGACAAAAAGAGGAGAUGAAUGAAUUGGAGAUACGAAAGAGGAAAUCAACGGAUUAAGAGUCGAGAGAGGGAAAGCAUUAACAAACAACACAGAGGGCAGCAGAAGAGACAAAAAAGAGUGUAGCGUUGAGGCGGCCAGAUGGAUGGCAGUCACGUGACCGGGACUGAGGUGGCAGAGACGUGUGAGAUGGCGUGGAGCACAAUUUUUAAUUAAAACUAAGUUUAUUAAAAUUAAAUGGACGAUUACCUUUAAAAAAUUAAAUGAUGUAGUCAGAAUCAUUUUCUUAAAAAUGAUUAUCCCCCUCAACCAUAUCCCCCUCGAGGAUCGCUCGGCCUUGCGAGGGGUAUUUUAUGUCCCCCUCGAGGGCCGCUCGUACAUGUUAUAUUUAUGGUUGUUGAUCCGACUUUUGCGGGGUGGCACUGUGCUCGAGCAGUGCUGUCCCAACUUUUACGGGGCGGCACUGUGCUCCAACGGUGUCGUCCCGACUUUUACAGGGAGGCACUAUGCUCGAACGGUACCGUCCUGACUUUUGCGGGGCGGCAUUGUGCUCGGGCUGACGUGUCUGCAAUGGUCGAAGGACAGAUUACCAAAAUAUGCCCUAUCAGUAUCCAUAUAUUUUAAUGAAAUUUAAGAGUAAAAGAGAUUAAAUUGGUAUUUCAUAUAAAUUUUUAAUUAAAUAUAUAAUAGUAAAAUUUAUAAUUAAAUAGACAUUUUGUAUAAAUUUGACAGCAGAGGUGAAAGUAAUUUAUUUUUAAUUAGUUUCACACCUUUAGCGAUCCAAUAACUAUAAAUCGAUCCAAUAUAAUUUAUUAUAUUUAUAGAAGCGGCAAAGUUUCCAAAGAAAUACAUGCAUGCAUACAUACAUACAUACAUGUUACGAUGGUUUACUUAGUUGGACAUACAUUUCCAACCCAUACUACGACAUGAACCGGAGGGAAUCGGACUAGAUCGGGAAGCUGCGGAGGACGACCGUCUCCACGGAGAUGCCCGGGCCGAAGCCGAAGAGCACCCCCCACUGGCAGCCCUGUCCGGUGGUGGCGUGGCCCUCCACCGCCGAUCGCUUCCGCAUCUCGUCCAUGAUGAACAGCACCGACGCGCUCUGCAUGUUCCCGUGCUCACUAAGCACGUGCCUCGUCGGCGCCAGCUUCCCCGCCGCCAGCCCCGCAUUGGCCUCCACCUGGUCGAUGAUGGCCCGUCCGCCCGUGUGCACGAUCCAGAACAGCUCGUUCCAGUCCGUGAUGCCCAUCGGCGCGAACGCCGCCUGCAGGCACCGCACGAUGUUGCUGCCGACGAUGAAGGGGACCUUCUUCGCGAGGUGGAAGGUCAGGCCGAUCUCCCUCAGGUGCCCCGCCACCAUCUCCUCGCUCUCCGGCACCAUCACUUGCGACGCCGAGCUGAUCUCGUAGAUGGGCUUCUCAACCCCCUCGACCGGGUCAGCGCCGACGAUAAGCGCCGCCGAGCCGUCGCCGAAAAGGGCCUGGCCGAUGAGGUUCUCGAAGUGGUCGUCGUCGGGGCCACGGAAGAACAUGACGUUCACUUCGGAGGAGACCACCAACGCGCGGGCGCCCUUGUUGUUCUCGACGAGGUCCUUGGCCAACCGGAGCGCCGAGGCGCCGGCGUGGCAGCCCACGUUGUAGAGCAUCACGCGGCGGACGGAGGUGGGGAGGCCGAGCUUCUGGACCAGGCGGUAGUCGACGCCCGGGAGGUCCAACCCGGCGGCGGAGCAGAAGACCAGAUGUGUGAUGUCGGACGUGGGGCGACCCCACUCCUUGAUGGCCUUCUCGGCCGACUCCGCCGCCAUCUUUGGCACUGCCUCCAGCACCACCUUCUGCCGCGCGUCGAACGACGGCUGCUCCAUGUAGCCGCACAGAUUGGGGUUCCCCUUGAGGAUCUCCUCCGUCAGGGACAUGUGCCGCUUCCUGAUGGCCGAAUUCUCACCUGCAACCCCAUUCGACAAAUGAUCAGUCUCCUUCUUCCGACAUGUUAGUAGAGACAAGGAAGAAGAAGCUUCUUACAUAUCCGCUUAAACUUCUCUUUGAGCUCCGUCUUGUCCUCUGCGUUGGUGAUUCGGAAGAAGAAGUCAGGAUAUUCCAUCUGAUCCACGAAAUGUGCAGGAUUGGCGGUGCCGAUGGCCAGGACCGUAGCCGGGCCGUCGGCGCCCUGCGCCCUCGGGAAGGCGUUGAUGUGUGCCAUCUUUGGGGAUGGAUUGGAUCCGCUGAAUGGUCACUGCGUAUCGCCUGAAGAAGGAUGUCGAUGAAGGGGCGAAGGAUGGCGAAUCCUCCCACAACAUAUAUAUACACAUACAUCCACACAUCUAUCUACAGAACACUGCAUAUAGUCAGCUAACUGGAAUUCCGAGGGAGGAACAAAAGGCCUGCUUAUGUGAGAAGCGUGGAGAUUUGACCAGGUAACAUGGUAGGUAGGUCAUGUUGUCUUUCCAUGGCCGAAGCAGCCAUCGAUCACCUACCAACGCACUGCUGCAUGUCGAAGGAUAAGAUAGUCUCGAUAGGUCGUCAUGGUUGAUUGGCACGCCGUUGAAAAGUCGUAAGUUCACAGUAAUGAAACCGGAAACUCCAAACUGUCAACAAAUUUCAAUCACUGUAGCUUCCAAUCGAUGCAGUAAUAUUCUGCCAGCAGAACAUUAAGAUUGUAAUGUUUUUGAGACCUCCAUAAAGGUAUUAUAAAUCUAUUAUAAUUGGAUCGAUCCAAUAUAAAUACCUUAAGAUAUUCUCUGCUGGAAUUGGAACGUGAUUAUAAAAGUAUUCUGCUUCACAUAUCUCAAGAUUAUAUUUUUGGACGAUCGAUUGUCUCAAAAGAAAAAAAAGAAGAGAAAGAAACCUCUAAAGAUUAGUGUUUUUGGUAGAGCGUUCUUCUAUUUAUUUAUCCUCGUAUAGAAUCUUAUUUUGUCUCACAGUAUGAUUUCAUAAGUGCUGCUGUGAAAGUAAUUAUUUGGCAAAUCUUAUGAUUAUUAUUAGCACUAGGAUUUGUUUUCCUCUACCCAUCCCAUCGUGUCGACGGAAGAAGUCAUUCCUCGACGUUUGCAUCCGACGAUAGCAACACUCGGCUACAAAUUUGUAUUCUAUUAAACUCGUGCGAGUUUGACUAUUUUGAUCUGACGUGAAAGGAAAUUAUUUUAGUGAUAUUGUAAUUUAGAAUUCGAAUGCCGGAUGAUUGCAAGCAUUGACCGCAUGACUUGUUUGGUGCGUAAAUCGGCGAGGAUAUGCAUCUCUCUAUUCGUCGUUCCUGUGUUUUUUAGGCUUAACGUUCCGAAGUUGGCGACCGGGGAGUUUGGUGAAGCUCGCAGCUCCACCAACCCACCCUUGUGCUGCACAAAAUUCCAAUAUGUCGUCUGUGCCGGUCAUCAUCAGGCAGCCGUCGAGUGAAUCGAUCUGACUCAAUAAGGACAAGCCAAAGCAGCGGAUGACCAACGGCACUUGGAGUGUGUUGAAUGCAUGAGUUCGGUCGAUCAGAGGCGUACAAGAAUGGGGAUGUAUGUAUCGAUGAACCGGGUCGAUGGUAGGUGAGUUCGAUGCGUUCUCUUAUGAUGCGACGUUUCUGUCUCUUCCACGAUCGAAGAGCAGGAUCAGGGUGCAUGGUGGUCGAGGGAGCCGCUAUAAAAGCCGCCCGAGGACGUGCUCUCUGGGUUUCGCACCAGGGGACCUGCGGGAUCAUGGACGCCAUCGAGGCCGAGCUGGGGUCGAGGCAUGUGUUCAGUGAUGGGCACCACCUUUCUGUUUGUCAUGGACGACGUCGGGAAGCGGUCGACGGUCGAGGAGCGGAUGACCACCGGCGACGGGCUCAGUAAAGAUACUGAUAACAGUCAAAAUCUCCCCAUUACAUAUGAGAUAUCGUAAAUCUUUUGAGAAAAAUCUUCAAGAGCAAAAUUCUCUCUUCCAAAUGUGUAUAAAUAUAGAGUAUUGUGUAUUGUUUCAAUCAAUACAAUCUUAUUCUUUUUAUUUUAUUUCUAUCAUGAUAUCAGAGCGACAUCGCUAUUAGAUGUGGCAUUUUUCCUUAGCGAAAGGUGACAGCAACAGCGGCAUCUUCCUCUAUUGAACUCUUAUUAUUGCAACGUUUUCCACGGACGUCCUCCAGGAUCGUUGCAUCGACCUCCUUCGAAGCUGAACAAGGGCCACCACGCUGUGCCCUCUUCUCCUCCCUGCGUCGCGAUAUUCUUUACUACCGCCCUUCCUCUGCCUCUUCCUGUAGAAGCAGAACCGACUCCCUCUCUGCUGUAGCCACAACAUCCCUCUUUACCACAACAACCGUAACAACUACAACAACAGUGAUAUGCUCUUCUCCCAAGUUGUUGUCCCCUGCUCUACCUUCUUCACCUCGACAAGCAGUAUUCGAAACUAUUUCCAAGUUCUCAAUUGCAGAACUACUGUACAGAGACUAUAACACUGGUGCACAAAGAUCUGCAGCUUUAUACAAUAUUGAUCAUUGUUAAUAUUGAUCAACAACCCACAACCCAUUUGUCACCAUAACCCACAACCCAUUUGUCACCAUAACCCACAACCCAUUUGCCACCAACACCUCUUCCUUCCAGAUUAUUGUCAUUGAUGCAGACUUCUAGUCUAUGUCGAUGGCUCUUUUUGUUGUUCACCGACGAUGCUCAACAUCCCAGACGCACCCAAUCCAGAUUAUUGUCAUUGCUGCAGACUUCUAGUCUAUGUCGAUAACUUGGCCUUGAUAGAGAAGUUACUGUUCAUAUCCUCAACGGAUGAAAAAAUUUUCUUCAAAGGAUUUUCUACGAUAGAUUUAUGAUAGAUUUGUUGAGGUUGUUAUCGUGGGAGAUCUUCUUCUUUCUUUUUUAUUUCUAUCAUAUAUAAAGAAUAAACAAAGAACAAACACCACUAAUGUCAAGUGAAAUUUUCGACAAAGUUUCUUCGACGUUGAAGCUAGUAAAUAAUAAUUGAUCUUGAUUAUAGUGGUCUGUCUUACACACAUAACCUGAGAGAAUAUUAUCCACGUAUGGUAUGGAUAUAAAGAUCAAACAUGCAACAACGAUCCGACAAGUAGGUAAAUGAACUAAACAUACUACUGAUACACACUCAAUAGGAAUGCCACACGACGACCGGUAAAGGAGGUCCGAGCAGAGGAAGAGGAAGGAUGAGGAGGAGUGAACUUACUUAGUUUCUUACCAUGGCGACCACGACGUUGCCCACCUCGGGUUUGUUUGCGGAAUAGUAACUCUCCAGUAGUUUGCCGUACCGGAAGAAGAGCUCAUCGAGAAUGCCCUCUCCGAAGUGGCCCUUCAGCAUCGAUUCCAGCACAGCCCUGACUCCCAUGGCCAUGCGUCGAGCGUAGCUCUUUCUCCGUUCAUGCACCGCGCCGUUCUCUCGGUCAAUGGUGUCGUGCUGGUCUUCACCACCGGAAUGGUGAUCGGCCACGGCGUCCCAGCCCGCUUCGAAGUGUUCUAUGGUUGUGAUCGAGAAGGACCCUUCUUCUUCGACCACCUGCUUCAGCUCCUCCAAGGAUGGAGCGUAGAAGGGGGCAUUGAAGGUGUCUAUCUUCUCCGUCGCAACCAGGCCCUGUCGUGCACGAGACAAGUGAGAUCUUGAGCUUUCAUUUUGGAGCUAAACAACAAGCUUAGUCAAUUCAUGUCAGUUCGAAAUUAAACUUGCCUCAAUUCAUUUCCAAUAAUUUUGGAGCAUUAAGAUUUGAAAAGGCAUGCUUUUAAGAUAUAACGUUCAUGAAAAAUAACAAAAGAGGAUUGAGAAAUACUUCAAAAAACAUUCGACGGUAUGAAUAAAAUAAAAAAUAUAUAUAUUUAGAAGCUUUACUAGUUAUAGUUAAAUUGGAAAUAUUACAACGACGAAGUAUUUUUUAGAUCUAUUUAUGGUUAUUUGACAAAAAAAUAUUUUUUCUUAUGAACAAAUGAGAAAGAAUUGCUACAAUAGAUAACAUUUAGACGUGUAUUAUGUUUCACAAUAAGAAAAAUAACACAUUGAAUCUAAAUCAAUUAUUUUUUUAAAAAAGUUAUGAUAUAGAAAUGAAUCGCACGGCUUUUUAAAUUCAUGACAAGAAUAUAAUACUAAUUUCGCUUGUGAAAAAUAGCUUAAAACAUAAUCUCUUUUGUGCAUAUAUGCAUUGAUCAAUCAAAUAAUGUUAAAGUUAUUAUCGAGGAUAAUUUUGUAUUAUGACAUCAUAUAUAUAUAUACUUAUUAAAACUUUUGUAAAAUCAUAAUAUAGUGAUAGGAUUGUCAAGCACUGAUCAUCCAACUAAUUAAUUUGAAAUACGUGUGAAAACAAGCCUUCGAAUUAACCAGAAAAAAAUAAAUCACCAAGAUUUUGGUGAUCCUAUAGUGCUAGAGAAUUGGGAUGGACACUGGAUUAACUCAGUAGAACAUUCUAAUUUUUUAUAGUUUAUUAUUCUCAUAAAAGAUUUGGAUUAUACUUUGUGAAUGUGGUUAAACUUGUGUCAAAUCACGUAAGAACAAUUCUCCACGUAUUGUUUCUUUGGUCUAUAUGUCAUUCUAGCCACAUCUCUUACAUAACAAUAACAAUGUGGAGUUAGAUUUGUAAUGGGUCAUAAGAUGUUUUUACAAGGAAAUAAAAUUAGGAUAAGUAUUCCAUGACUUAGUCAAGUUUAUUUUUCGAAAUAUUAAUGUAUGUGUUCGAAAUUGAUAAAUGCGUAUGAUUUAUAUGAAUUAUAAAUUAUUUUAUUAUUUUAAAAAUAUUUUGAAAAUAAAUUACAUGUUAACGAUUUGAAAAAGCGUAUGAUUUAUUUAUGUUUUCUAAUUCAUAUGAAAAUGUAUGUUCAACCAUUAUAUUUGAAAAGGAUUGAAAAAUAUAUGAAUAUUAUUAGUUUUAGAUGAUAUACAUUUUGAAAUGAUAUACAAAAAUAUUUAUUAAAAAAUAAUUUUGUAAAAAAAUUAUUGAUAUAUUAUUUUUAAUAGCAUGAUAGUCGUUUAGUAAGUAUGGCUAUAAUCUAAACCCUACCAAUGGGAGUUAUGCAUUGGAAUAUAUUUCAAAAACUAAUUUGUUAUGAGCCCAAGAUAUAUGUGUUAUCUACACCAUUAAGGUUAAAAAUGUAUGUAUGUUGUUCUAAAAAGUAUUGAAGUAUUAUUUUAUGUUAGCAUGUAAAGUAUAAAUAAUCGACAUGGAUGCAUAUUUCAAAAACAUGUGUUGAGUGCAUAAAGGAUUUAUGUGUUUAAAAAAAAUGUUUUAUCUAUAAUAAGUUUUGUGAGUUAUAUAUGUUUAUGAUUUGCUCAUAAAUUAUAAAGAUCCUAAGGGGUAAAUCAAUUAUUGGUUGAUUUAUAUGAUAAAAUAUUAUAUAUAUAUAUAUAUAUAUAAUAUUUAUUCUGAUUUUGACCCAAACUUUCUUAAUACUGUAACGUACAAAGUCGUUUCUCAUCACCCCACCCCACCCCACCCCACAGUGACGGUAGACUUAGAUGGCACAAAGGACGAUGUGAUGCCAUCAGGGACGCUGUUAACAUGAGAGAAAGAGAGAGAGAGAUAAGUGGCGUCUGUGUGUUGGAGAUGGAGAUAAGCUUCAACUAAGUCGAGAAGUGGCGUGUGUGUGUUGGAGAUGGAGAUAAGCUUUAACUAAGUCGUCUUACUUUUCCUGUUCAUCGACCAGUAUAAUUUGGACGGCUUGUCUAAUCGGUGAGUUAAUGAGUUACGGUGAUGGAUUAAUUGCCUACUGGUAAUGGCGAGAGAGACUAGGGCGAAAAGAAGCAGUGAAGAAGAUUACCUCCGAGGCCAUGUCAUUGAGUGCCUCCGCGAGGAGCUCCCACAGGUGGCAGUCCUCCGGCAUCCCGAGGUCUGGGCUUCUCCUGUCCAUCAACGCCAGCACCAUGCGGCCUCCACCGACUAUUUCUUCGGAACGACACCGGAGAAAUAGCCUGAGAUCUCUCCGGAAUUGCUUCAGAUAUGCAUUCAAGACGGCCCAAGGACUCGUCUUGGAGAUGUACACCUUCCCUUUGUUCAGACACGAGACGGGAGAUCCGUUCUGGAGUUCCUCAGGAACCUGCAAGCAAAAGUCAACGAUUACCACUGCCAUGGACCUACAGAUCUGGGAUCGGGACUUGGCAUGCUGAUUGAUUCCUGGAACGUGGUACGUUAGCCAAGGAAGCAUGUCCCACCUGAGACAGCCAGUGAAGGCUCGACGAGGAAUGCACGAAUUGCAAGCUCUUUCCGGGGAACAGCCGGCCGUAGAACGACCCGGGCACUGCCGAGAAGAAACAGCGCCCGCAGUCUGGGAGCCGCUCCCUCGCCCGGUAGAACUCGGGCAACGAUCGGAACACGGUGUUGAAGUCGUUCCAGUAUAGGUCGUUGAGGAGCACGUGGAAGUCCGGCGGGGGGGACUGUAGCUGAAGGCAGCUUCUCUCGAUGGCCUCCAUGAUGUCGGCAACCACCAGCAGCGCGUUGGGACCCGAGGAGCAGCCCAAGUCGGCAAUGCUCAUGGUCCCGGAGGAGGCAGCAGCGCAGAGAUAGGCUUCUACCACCGCUUCCCGUCGUAUGUCCUUGGUUCUCGAUAUGAUGACGCCCUACGCAGACGCACCGAAUCCAUGGAGAGAGAGAGAGAGAGAGAGAGAGAGUUNNNNNNNNNNNNNNNNNNNNNNNNNNNNNNNNNNNNNNNNNNNNNNNNNNNNNNNNNNNNNNNNNNNNNNNNNNNNNNNNNNNNNNNNNNNNNNNNNNNNNNNNNNNNNNNNNNNNNNNNNNNNNNNNNNNNNNNNNNNNNNNNNNNNNNNNNNNNNNNNNNNNNNNNNNNNNNNNNNNNNNNNNNNNNNNNNNNNNNNNNNNNNNNNNNNNNNNNNNNNNNNNNNNNNNNNNNNNNNNNNNNNNNNNNNNNNNNNNNNNNNNNNNNNNNNNNNNNNNNNNNNNNNNNNNNNNNNNNNNNNNNNNNNNNNNNNNNNNNNNNNNNNNNNNNNNNNNNNNNNNNNNNNNNNNNNNNNNNNNNNNNNNNNNNNNNNNNNNNNNNNNNNNNNNNNNNNNNNNNNNNNNNNNNNNNNNNNNNNNNNNNNNNNNNNNNNNNNNNNNNNNNNNNNNNNNNNNNNNNNNNNNNNNNNNNNNNNNNNNNNNNNNNNNNNNNNNNNNNNNNNNNNNNNNNNNNNNNNNNNNNNNNNNNNNNNNNNNNNNNNNNNNNNNNNNNNNNNNNNNNNNNNNNNNNNNNNNNNNNNNNNNNNNNNNNNNNNNNNNNNNNNNNNNNNNNNNNNNNNNNNNNNNNNNNNNNNNNNNNNNNNNNNNNNNNNNNNNNNNNNNNNNNNNNNNNNNNNNNNNNNNNNNNNNNNNNNNNNNNNNNNNNNNNNNNNNNNNNNNNNNNNNNNNNNNNNNNNNNNNNNNNNNNNNNNNNNNNNNNNNNNNNNNNNNNNNNNNNNNNNNNNNNNNNNNNNNNNNNNNNNNNNNNNNNNNNNNNNNNNNNNNNNNNNNNNNNNNNNNNNNNNNNNNNNNNNNNNNNNNNNNNNNNNNNNNNNNNNNNNNNNNNNNNNNNNNNNNNNNNNNNNNNNNNNNNNNNNNNNNNNNNNNNNNNNNNNNGAGAGAGAGAGAGAGAGAGAGAGAGAGUUGUCCGGCGAAGGAAGAAGAGAUCGACAUGGAAGACUCACCUGGAUCUUGGAGUUGUUGGCGUAGCUGGAUUCGCCGGCUCCGCUGUUCAUGCGCAUGACUCUCUGCAGCUCCAUGAGGUCUACAGCUCGUCCUCGAUGAUGCUAAACGAUGGUUGCGAUAUGGAACAGAGAGUUGAGGCCGCUACCUGUUUGUUGAUUUGCCACAACAAAAUGUGUACCAUUUUACGUGCCAGGGGACGCACACACAUGUGCUACACAUGUCACCGAAAUAUUAUUAGUCAUACUGGGUCCCACGUUAUGAAUUAACAUGUACGGAUGUCGGCCGGACCGCAGGGGCCCAGAGGCUACUGGUCCGUGAUUUCUGCCACGUGUUCUACGGAAGCAAAGUCGGCCGUCGGAUGACAACCGCAUCAUGCGGUGCCGCCCGUGACUGAUUUGCCUGUCCUGGAAAUGGCAUCAUUUGCGUAGUAAAUCAAAUAUCCAUUAAAUUAUUUUUUUAGCCCCAGUAAAUCAAAUAAAUGAUAGUGUUUCUAAACAGAAGGAAUGGGAUUUAUGUUCGGUAACCGAAGAUAAUGUAAUUUAAUUUAAUUUAAUUAUUUUUUUGAAGAAUACUGUAAUUGAAUAUGACGUCUCACCUUUUUCUUAUUAUCAUAUUUCGUAAUAAAUGAACAUCAAUAUUAUAAUAUCUUUACGAUCGAUCAACACAAAUGAGUGAGCAAAUGACAAAGAUGUCGCUCUCUAUCUAACUAAUCGUGAUUCCAAGAACCCAAGAACAAAUAACAAAGAAAACGCUAUUAUGACUCCACGGAAAAGCAAACCUAAAACAAAACAAUAUUACCAUGCCAAGAAUCAUCGAUGAUGAUGUGAAGAAGAAGAAGAAGAAGAAGAAGAAUGAUCUGUGAGUUUUUUGUUUUUGAGGAGAUGAUGGUUUCUAAGGAAGAAAGCUCUUUAUUGGUAAUCCUUUUUCUUAUCGGUAAUCUUUUACUAUUGACGAUCAUUAAAUAUAUAUAUAUAUAUAUAUAUAUAUAUAUAUAUAUAUAUAUAUAUAUAUAUAUAUAUAUAUAUAUAUAUAUAUAUAUAUUACAAUCUCUUAUUUCAUCCAUCAAAAUCUUAAUUGAUGUCAAAAUUUGACAUUGCUCGACAAAGAGAAAGACUUUUGAGUCAAAAUUUGACAUUGCUCGAUAAAGAGAGACUUUUGAGCACAAGCUCAACGCUCAACGACUCGAUAUAAAUAGAUAAAGACUCCGAUUCAAAUGGAUGCUUUAUAUAUUUUAAAAUACUAUACUAUACUAUAUGAUGAUGAAACACUUGAUAUAUUUUAAAAUAAUUUUAAUGGAUGCUUCAAAUGAUGAAAUGAUAUGGUUAUACCAUCAAACUGCAGUAGCUACUAAACUGAAGCAUAAUCUCAACCCACAUCGUACCACAUUUUAAGACCAGUGUGUUUUUAACAGAGAUCGAAUUAGUGGGAGCAAUACUAGGAAAAUAAGCUUAAUAGGUCACACACACAAAAGGUGCUCAAAGGUGGAUAACCAUGAAUGAAACAUCUUGCAAAACAAAAUGCAAGUGCUACUUAUCGAUUCCAACAAAAGGUUCAUUUGGAAACACACUCGAUCAGGGAUCAAGACCGAGGCUUCUCCUUCUUUUCCUUGAAGAGUGCCAAAAGGGACACACCAGAAACCUUCACAACCUUGAACCUUACUCCAGGAAUAUCCCCCACCGCGUGGCCCUUUCGUCCGAAACCAGCUAUCAAGACUUCAUCCUGCAAAAGCAAUGCAGCUCCAUGACAUGCUUCUGCAAUUGAUGAUGCAAGCACUGUAAUCUUAGAAGUAGCUCCUGAUACAGGAGGUCUCGUGCUGUGCUGAGCAUACACGCAGACAGCAAGCACUGUGAUUAAUGCCUGCUUGGCACGACACUCUUGCGAUGCUAAUGCUAGUGCCGACCGGUGCAUACUGGUUGGUGUGGGCAAUCGCAGAUUAAUUCUUUGCUAACGAGUGCAUUAGAUUAUUCUACUGGAGUGUUCAAUGGCAUAUAGAAAUGUCUAGAUGAACCGAACCACAAAACUUACAUUCUCUUCUAUGAAGUUUAAGCAACCAUCGUUUGGAACAAAGGCUGCGAUCUUCUUCCCGUUCUUUAUCAAUUGCACUCUAGCACACUUUCGGAUAGCAGAGUUGGGCUGCUUGGCUUCGAUACCUCUGCAAAAAGGCAAUGGGGUGUGAGUGCUCCCGACUUGAUCGACAUCAAGAUACAACAAAAAUAUCAACAACUAGCAUCAUUAUCUUACAUCUUCUCGAGAACGAUACCCUUGGCAUGCGAAGAACCAGCAAAGGGCUUCUUCCACUCAUUGCCGAGAUGACUUUUCUUGUAUGCUUUGUCUGCCCAUCUUUGCCUCCUCCUAUGGGUUUUGAGCUUGCGCCCAGCUCCCAUACCACGAGUCUUUCUGUCAUAGACCUUAUAUUUAUGAAAACCCAUUCAUCUUUCGAUGAACAGACGAUACAACUCGGUUUUCGCCACUUAUCAUCUUUUUUAACAAAUCCAAACUCCAGCCAUAAGAAAAUCGAAAAUAUGCAAGCAUGUUUAGAAGCAGCCUUACCAUUUCCCCCUUCUACAAACUAUAUCUCAUGAUCAAACUCCAAACCAGAAGAGCAUUAUGAUUAUACACAAGGCUACCAGUCCUCUUAAUCAAUUUCAGUUGGAAGUGGCUGAAAAAAUUUGCUAAUCCAUAAUCGUGUGGAUAAAAUAUUUUUAUCAUUAUUACAAGCAAAUGUUCCCAACCAAUUUUUUUUUUUUUUUUUGACUGUGGUCAGAUGGUUAGCAUUCAAUCAUUCAUCAUUAGACAUCACAUGACUGUGCAUCAUAAAAUAAUGUGAGUGAUAAUCUUUAGCCAUUAAUUUGCAGAUCGAAAAGGUUUGCUCGUAUAUUAAGGAGUGACAUUUACAAAAUGCAAACAUAGAAAUCUUUAGAUUAUCAUUUGAGCACCCAGGAAAAGUGUAACUUUGAACAAGAUCGUCUCAAUUUGUUUCAUUAUCUUCCCCGAUAAUCUUAACCCGUCCAGCUCAUGAUUAACAGUUUAAAAGAUGGCCUUUUACUACCUAAAGAAACACAAAUAACGCAUCGAUGUUCAAAAACACAAGGAUUGCUCCAUUCUCCACAAAAACGAAGAUAUCCGUCCACCAAAAAGAGGGGGAAGGUGAUACAAUCAAGAACGAUCAGAUCGAGUCGCUAACGAAACAUGACACAAUCCAAGCGACGGACGGACGGUGCAAACGUAGCGUCGCUAGAGAGCAGGAGCACGAAAUAUAGGAUCGAGUUCUCGCGGAGACUCACCCCAUCUUGUCGUAAUCCGAAGCUCCCCUUCCUUGCCGUGCCUCUCGGUGUCGCGGGGGAGGUCGAGGAUGCAAGAGCGGCGGAAAGUCAGAGAAGAAACCCUAUCGGACCCGUAAUAUAUAUAUAUAUAUAUAUAUAUAUAGGCGAGGGUGAGACAGCCAGAUUUGACCAAUGGGCCGGCCCAAUAUGCUCUUAGAGCCAAUUCAGGGAUCGAGUUGAGCUGGCCCGAGCGGGACUCGGGCAUGGCCGAUGUAAUCACUGAUACACUGGAGUACGCAUCUGCAUUUGUGUUUUCUAUUAUUUUGUUCUUGUCGUUCAUCCCUAUUAUUUCAAUAUUUCUUUUAUGGGUGUUGAAAUCUUAUACGAUGUAUAUAUACUGAUAGAACAUAUUCUGGAUCCCAGCCACGUCAUGACCCAUGCCACGUCACGCCCUCGUCGAGUCAGCAUAAAGGCUGACUUCUUGUGUCGAACGGAAGCCGGAGGCGCCCCGUCGCAAGCCUUGUUCCGGAAAACUCGGGACGACACCAUUCCAUGCAUACUAGGCUGGAUUGGUCGUCACACCAAAUCCAUGUAUGACCGAUCCUCGGGCAAUAGUAUAAAAGCCCGACACCUAGCCAGGGGAGAGAGAAAAAAAAAAAAAGACAAACAAACCUCUGACUCAAUAUCCGAGGGGCUCAAGCCGAGAAUCUCUCAAACAAGGCCCGUGUGCAGGAAUCCGAACGCGCGAUCGCCCCGACCCUUGAUCUAGCUCAACCUCGACGUUUCCCCGGUAGGUCGAGAGACCCGCCUCCGAACAUCGACCAUGUAGACCAAGCCGUGCUGACUCCCCGGCCAACGCGUAAUUUCAUCAACAUAUACCAUGGCAAUUAGAAGGUGUCACGAUUAACAUUCAUUCGGGCAGCAAAUGAGGCCUCUUUCUUUCAACUCGAUCGACAAAUAACAUUGACAUACACUUCUUUUGGGAGAGUAGGACGGAUAAUUUGAUUCGUCAGCUGAAUAAAUCAUUCUCUUACAAUGAUCAAAUCGGAAUGCUUCACACAAUCUCGCAUUUAUAACGAAAGCUUAGCCUUCGCGGCCGACUCCCUCAUGGCAGUAUAAAGCUCUAAGCACCAAGUCAAAUAUUAUUAUCUAGUUAGAGCCACUAAUGACCCCAAAAUGUAACUUAUCACCUCUCAAUUCUUCAGCUCAGGUAGCAAAAGCCCACCGGUCUGCAUUUGCUUGUACAUCCACUGCCAGUUCUCGGGCCUCACCUCACCGCCGAGAGCUCGGACGACCGCGCCACCGCUGCAAGAUCCCACCUUGCAACAAUCUUCUAGACAAAGUCCUUUCACCAACCCAUACAAGAAACCGCUUGCAAAGAGAUCCCCAGCUCCGGUGGCAUCAACAGCAUGGGUGUCUCCUAUCGCCGGGACCCGAACAACCUAAAACAAUAAAUAUAGCAGUUCAUCUAUAUGCAUCAUUUGGCUACCAUGGUUUUGGUUAACGCCAGAAACAUUUUUGCAGCUUUCUUAGUUUUAGUCAUUGUUUUGCUUUUUGCGAUAGAAAAAAUUGUCAUAAUCUUGAUUAUAAUCAACUCCAUCUCAUCGAUCGAGUUAGCAAGUGAUACCAACCUCAUUUCCAUGCUUUGCUAUGCAACCCCUGGGACCAAGUGUCACCACAGCCCAUUUACAGUGUUUGGCCAAGAAACACAAAGCAGCCUCUGGGUCGACUUUGGGUUCUCGGCUGAAAAGAAAAAAAGAGCAAAAGAUGACAAUUCUCAAAGUCUGCGCAAGAAGGAAGUUCAUGUAAGGUAGAUGUCUCGGCCGUAUGGCUUUGAGAUAUUAAAGUAUCACAAAUUGAGGAGCCAUCAAAUACAGGCUGAACAAUUUAAUUAUUUUUAUACAAAAACCUUGUCAGUUGAUCGAUAAAUAUUCACUGGCAUAUUGUCAAUGUGCUAAAUGAACCAUGCAUCACCUUAGUGAAAACCAUCAUAAAAGACUACACAUCUAUGACAACACAAGUUUGUUUACUUGUAAAGCACCUUCAUAUAACUAAUAAAUGAAAUUUUGUUAUCGCUUUAGUGAAGUUUAUCUACCUGGUCGUCACGUUGAAUUUAGGUCUGAAAAAACAGGCCAUCUAAGCAAGUAAUAUUACCUUAUAAGCUCUUUAGCUUCAUCCUCAUUGGCAAAACAGAGGUCAAUACUCCCGGACUCCAAUAGGUCUAUCAAGUGUGACCUAUAGUCUCGCACCAUCUGGACGUAGGUGGAGAUUAAAAGAAAAAAAAGAGUUCAGACACUUCACUUGGAAAAAUGUUGAGAAAAAAACCAUCUAAAACAAGAUAAAAAUGUUUCACAAGAAACCUCGAAACUCGCAAGGUCCAUGGAAACAGAAACCCCCUCUUGUUUAGCAAUUCUUAUAGCAGCUUUUAUUUGCUCUAAAUUGAUAAAUGCAUAUCUUAGGAUCAACCACUGCAUAAAUAUCAUGAGAAUGUUAGAGAGGGAAGGACAACUUUACUUCAGGGCUAUUAGUCAGUAGUCACUCGAGAAGAAAAAACUACCUUUGCACCUCUCAAAUCUUCCCUCUUCAGUUCAUCAGCCUGAUAGAUAUUUCAGGUGAAAAGUCACAAUAAUUACAUCAAUUCAUCGGACUCAUUUGACCUUAAAAUGGGGAAAAUAACUGGACCCUGCAUACCUGAAGCUUAACUGCACUGGACAGACAGGGCCGCAUGGUUCGGUUGCCAUCAGCAUCCACCAAACAUGCGCACUGCAACAGGCAAGUGAACUACAAUGCAAUCAAUUUGGCAAGGUGAUAACAAAAAAAUUCUGGAAAUCACGUCCAGCUCACCUGCCCAGUAGAUCCGUUCUUCAUUCUCAGUCUGGAAAGAUCCACACCACUAAAGCUCAUGUUAUUGAUGAAUAACCGACCUUGUUCAUCAUCUCCGCAAGCACCAAUUAUUCCACUCGAGACUCCAAAGCCAGCAGCCAUACCGCGAAUGGUAUUGGCGACACUACCUCCAGCUAUGGCUAUUAUCGGAGGGAUUUCGUUAAGGAAAGGGAGGAUGUGUGCUUUGACCUCACUCAAUAUAUGAUUCAAAUCCUCUGCCGCCACCUGCUUGUUAUGAAUAGUUAUAAGCACCGGUUGUUGCAAGAUGAAAUCACAUCACAAGGAUUAAAGGAAAAAAAGAUACCGCCUUUUGCAUGUGCUACCAAAAGCAUUAAAUAAGACUUCUCUUGUAUAUGAAAUCGAACUCUAAAAUCAAAAUACAGAGUGACAAGAUGACGACGGAUCAACCCCAAUUCGAAGAACCACAUAUCGAAGUGACAAAGAUCAAGACUCCAUCCGCACAAUCGGAUACCAUGAACCGAACCACCCAAUAGAAAGGACGAGCGAUCACACUUCACGAGACCAUCUUGCACGAUCAAGUCUUCUUGGGAGAUCGGCCGUCGGAAUCGAAAAUUCAAAAAAGGAAAAAAAAUUAAGCAUAUUUCCUAGAAAGAAAUGCGUAUAAAGGGCGAACGAAUUUUGAUCUUGAAGGACUAGAUUGGUGCUGUGACAGUUCAUAUCGACAUUUCUGUUUUCUUCGAGAGCCGUAAGGAUUAGAGAAGGCGAAUUACGACGAAGAAAAUCUGGGAAAAACGGGAGGGGGGGGGGGACCCGAAUCAUCUGCAAAUCAAAGAGACCGCAGGCGCAUCGAGCGGGAAACCAAAUCGUGCGGACGAACGAAAGGCGAACAAACACCGCAGAAAAAAUAAAUCUUUCGCCCGAGGCACAGUGAAGAACACCUCGUUGACGUUAAAUCCAGAUCCUCACAGGCACAAUUUCAUGGGAGCGUGGGACACGGCGCUAGAACAGAAGAAGCGGAGCGGAAAACACGGUAGCAAUGGUGGUGCGGCCGGGGAUGGAAUACCUGCUGAGAGCCGCCUCGGUCGCCAGGAAUCCGAUCGAGGAGAGACCAAUCGACCCUGGCGACGUGGUCGACGAGGGCGGCGGGCUGGAGGCCGAGGAUGGCCGGCGGCAACGGCCAAUUCCGGCCGUCGCUGUCGCAGAGGGGGUGGUGGAGAGGGAAGAGAGUGCGGCGGAGCUCCCCUUCCGCUCCCAUCGAUGAUGGAUCCGAGACGCUCACUCUUUGCGGAGCCGCGAGGGGAAAGGUGGCCUCUCAAGAUAACAAGACUCGCCUGCCUCCUCCCAACUCCGAGUAGGUAUAAGGAGGCGGAUGGAGGGGGAGGCGAUUGCCCAACGCAAAGUACCAAAUUGCCCAUCGCACAUCAAAAGCCCAGAAGGGAACAUAAUUGGUUUAGACUCGGUGUAAGUCGAGCACAAUUGGUUUAGCCGCACCAUCUUGCAGCAUCAUAGACUCCUAAUUGGACUCAGGUGGUUGAGCUGAUGCUUAGCGGGAGAGCAUAACCAAAUGAUGUUCUUGUAAUCUCAUAAACACAACAGACCAUAUGGUUCCUUAGGAUUCCCCCAUUCCGAUGGCAUAGCUAUCUGCUGAAGGAAACAUUUGGCUGGCAUAAUUAUCAGUCAUUUAAUUUGGGUAUUUUAAGAAUCUUUCUUUUUCUUCUGUUCUAUUGCCCAGCAAUAAAAUGGUAUCGAGGAAUUGGCGUGUUUGACUGUAACGUGGAGCAAAUCGGGAAGUAUCGAUUCUCACAGUUUUCGAUUGGUCCCUUUUUUUAAUUAUAAUAUUAUUUUUUAUAAAAAAAAUAUAUAUAUAAAGUUAUAAUAUUUUAAAAAGUAUUAUAAACAUAAGAAGUCUCCAUAUUUAAUUGUUAUUGUUGUAUCUAUUGACUUUUGGGUCAACUUACCUUAAUUUUUAUUUUUUUUAAAUAGAUUUAUUAUAUUUUUAAUGAAGGUAUGAAAAAUGCUAUAACUGAAAGCAUGAAUCAUAUACAUAGAGAGAUUGAAUUUUGUGCAUAAAAGAGAUUGGACAAGUUCUUAUGGUGUUAUGAAUAGUGCUUCAGCUAUCUUGUGAAUAUGACAUUUCGAUAUCUUAAAAAAAAAUAUUUAAAAAAAAAUCUUUAGAAGAACCUAAAUGAGUUUUUCUUAAAUACUCUAGAAUUGAUAAUUUUUAGGGUGAAUUCUCAUAAAAGAAUCUUUUAAAUAGUAUCUUAAGUCUGAAAAGUUCAUCCUACUUCUAUUGGCUAUCGCCAUCGAUCCAUCGCUUAGACACUCACAAAUCAUCUCUCUCCUUCGUUAGACCCAUCAAGUGACAAAGUGUAAUGGCUACCAGAGCAUUUUAUUAGACCAGCAAGCAAUAAAGCAACCCUUGUUGCCCUUGUUCAAGCAACGACACAGGUGGUAACGACGGUCCUUACAUCCUCGUGAGCAUCGACGAUGUUACAUGACACCUUUGUAACUAACCAUAAUGAUGACGAUCAGGUGUCCAACGAGGGUCGCGUAACCUCUUCAUAUCCCUUCCUCACUAGCACAGUCUCCUUGUAUCCCUUUUUCGUUGUCGAUCAUAUAGAAGGAAAGAAGGGGAUGGCUCACACUCAUAGCCAACGAGGACAAUAAAAGUCGAGGGAUAAGGUGGAAGAGCAUUAAUAUUGAGAUAAAAAAAUUUAAAACGAUGAGGAUAAAACAAUCAUUUCAUAUAAUCAAAAUGGUCACGAAUCUAAAAUUCAUCCUAAUUUAUAUUUCAAUGUGUCACGAAUCAAGAGACAAAAAUUACACCGACAAAGUUUUCUUUGUCAAUAAGUUUGAAGAUUGCUUUGAUAGAGUUUUGAGACCGAUUCAAAGUUUGGUUGGUGCCAAAAACACUCACCAACUCUUUGAAGAGAAUGUCAUUUUGACGGGGAAUAAGUCAACGGAAGAGUCAACAAGUUUGAAGAUUUCUUAGGGAGUCUCGAGACGGAUUCAAAGCAGUGUUGGCAGCAUACGUAUGAAUUAUACUCGUUUGGAUUGCCAGAGACGAUCGGGCAACUUCUGUUUGGGUGCAAACCCUAAUAUAAUAAUAAUAUCCUUCAAAAUUGCUAUUAUUCUUCUUGUCUGCCAUGAGAUUGAUUCUUGGCUUUGAGCGACUAAAGGGAAUUGAAUGACUCGGUUUCAUUCUUAGGUAAUAAUGGUUCUAUUUUAGCGAUUCAGAUAGAUCUUACAUUCUUCUAUUUACUUGUAAGAAAUUAGGUUUUUUUCUUAUAGAUAUAUCUAUAUAAAUAAAAAAGAUAAUCUAUACUGAAUAGUUUAUUAUAAUAAAAAUGAGGCAUUUCCUCAACCAUUUGGUGAUGGAAUAGAAGAUUGUUGUGUAGGCAAUGACAAAAGUGAUCAGAGAAAGUGUCACUGAUUGAAUGUUGAAUGCCUGCCUAAACUACCAUCAUCCAUCCAUUAAUCAUUCACAGCAUGAUUUCAGAGUCUGGUCUUUUGUGUCUGAGCAAAUGGGUCCAAUGGUUGCAACAUCUGACCAUUAUUGCAGUGGUCUAAUAAAGUGCUUUUCUUCCUCUUCCUAUGAUCUCUUUUUCUUCAAACUUUGACUGUAUGUAGCAGCACUCACCUGUUCAUGUGCCCAUGCCAUUUUGAGCUUGGCAUAUGUGGAAGAAAGGUGGGUGGAGGAGACACUCCCAAUCUUUUUAGUCUGCUGUUGGAGCACCGCACCAUCAUCCAAUGUGAUUGAACAAAGACAAAUUUGUGCUGCAAUAAUUGUUGCAACCUCCCCAUAUUUUAAUUAGCACUAGUUAAGAUCUAUACACAAUAGGAAAUUUAUAUCGUCUUACCAUAUUUUAUGUUCUCUGUUUUUAAUUUUAAUUUUUAAUCGGUUCAAUUUAGAUUCGGACCAAAACGUAACCACGACUUAGGUAAAAAGAAAAAUAAUAAUUAAAUAUCGAUAUAAGAUAAAUAACACGAUUAACAUUAACAUUACGUAAUCCAAUACCUCUGGUCAUGACCAUAUAGGAUGAUGUCUUGAUAAUACGUAGUUUAACUAGUUAAAACAUCGUAUCAUAUUAUUGGACUCGGCAUGGGAUGAUCACAGACAAAGUCGAGAGAGGACUAUGUAAUUGUUACCCAUAAAAAUACUCAAUAAGUAUAUUCCUCAAACACAUGAAUAUAAUUUAAAAUUUUAUUUUAAACCUUUCGAACUUCCGACUAACAUAAGCAUCGGAAGAAUAUUUGUUAGAAAUACUCGUGGGUUCGAUACACUCGGGGUUAUUAUACAAGAAUUGAGACUGCAAAAAAAGAAAAAGAAAAAUGAUUGAUUAUAAAUUAGCAUCCAAUCUAGCAAAGGUAUUUUGUCAAGACGAACUUGCAUGGUGGAUGGGCUUAAAUAUGAGAAGGAGAGCUGAUUUUUGUGCUCUAUCAACAUUACAAUGAAUUGUUGCACUUCUCUCUUCCACCUUUUUUUAUAUCUAUAAAGCAAAACGAAGACAACGUGAGAUCAGCCCCACUCAGUAAUCAUCGAGGAACACAAAAAAGCUCCCUAAAAGAUGUGCAGCACUGGGAUUUGUCGAUGAACGAGAUAAAAAAGAAUGGUGUAGCCUCCUACGUAACGUAAAAGAAACCUAACCGAGAAGAACCGCAUGAUUCCAUCUUCUUGGGUAGGGAGGGUCUCAUCUGCUCCACCAGAGAGCCGAAAGCAAAAGCCAUCCAAGCUUUCUUUCCUGUGACCCCUUGUGGAUCCCAAAGGGUAUCACAUCAUUGCUGAUUCAAGUUGCAAGGAGCGUGUCAUUUGGAUAUGCUCCAUCAUAGCCCCCUGACAUGUUCUCUGCGACCUCACUGUUGACAGUCUCUUGGUAAAUGCAGUUGAUUGGAGCAACUGACGGAGAACAGUGAUCACUGUUGUUGACGACAAUCUCACCUCCGCAAUCAAUCUUCUCCCACCUCUCUCUGCUUCACUUUAGUCGAAACCGGAAGAGUGAGAGAGAGAGAGAGAGAGAGAGAGAGAGGAGGUCGUACCUGCAACUGAUGGAGCCACAUGAGUCGAUGCAAUUAUGGAAGCAGUGGCAAAUCUCUGCGUGUCGACGCGGUGGCAAGAAACAUCUCCGUUGUUGUCGUCCUCGUCUUCCCGACAGCGCACACACACACACACACACAAUUAUCUCCUCGUCCUUGUUGAUCCAAGGCACAGUGUAGCCUGUCUUGCCGAGGUUGCACCAUCUUAAAUUUAUUUUUCCUAUUAAAAAUACCAAUUUUGAUUUAAUUUACGAAAUUUCAUAUGGAUUUUGUAUCAUUAAUUUAUAAUUAAAUAUUUUUAUUCGACGGUUUAGAUUAAGUGGAUUGAUGUGUCGGUUUUGGCAUUAGGAUAAAUAUUAGUUGUUCGUGCUAAGUAGAGAGGUUGUGACGUUCACUUCCUAGUUUGUCUCGUGUUGAGAUAUUAGGAGGGUUGGAGGUUUAGCACUAAAAUAAAUUUAUUUUAUCAUUAAUCGUUAGUAAUCAAGAAUGUGCGAUAGAUAAAUAUUGAUAAUGAUUACUUGCGUUAUUAGACUAUCAAUAUAUCGUAAAAUUAUGCAUGAUAUAAAGUAAUGACUUGCCAAGUUAAUUUUAUCACCGAGUUAUAUGACCAACAUCGUCAAGCUAGAUCGACAUUCUCGUCGAUGCCACUUUGUUAGUUUUGUAGAGUCGAAUCCGAUGUAAUAUAUCGACUGACUUAGAUAAGGAUGUCAACAUAUUGAGAAAGAGUCAAAUGACAAACCGUUGAUUACUUAUAUAUAUAUAUAUAUGAUAUCUCUCUAAUUUUAUUAAAAAAUGAGUAGAGGCAUGAAUUUAAAUUUAAAUAUUUUUUCUGUGAAUGAUUCAGACUUAUAGAUUUAAUAGAUUAAUUAUGCUGUCGAAUCAUAUCGAUCGAUGACUUACUGCUACACUCGGAAGGCAGUCGGAUGAACAGAAGGUUACAGAUUGCUGCAAUCGCAGUCUGCUUGACCAGCUUUGCAUGAAGCCAUCAUGUGAAUGAAUUGGUGAAAGUACAGAGAUACCACUUUGUUAUCUCCAAACAUAGUAUACAUUAUGUUGUAUAUUUCUUAAAGAGCCUCGUGUGUGCACUGUCAUAAUUAUUUGAACAUGAAUCAUUAAGCUCUUCCUUACAAUCACAGUCGAGUGCAUGAACGACCAUUUUCCAACACAAUUUCAUCGUACAUUCUAAAGCAUGUCAAUGGUGGAUCUUCUGCGCACCAAAGUCAAGCUGAGCAAUGUGACAUUUGAGAUUUCUCUUCCACAGAUCUGGUUUGUUUCUUCUCGAUAUGUGGCUGAUAGGUGAGACUUUGAGCUGGAGUUGUGAUAAGAGAAACUCCUCGAGUAUUGAAUGCUGGUUUGCUAUAGAAGAAGAAGUAAACUCCUGGAUCUUUUUGGCUACAGGAGCUCUCAUGGAGUAUAGAGUUGUUUAUGCACUGCACGUUGCUAUUAACGCUUGUGAUGGAUGGAACCUCAUCACCUGUCUGAUGUGAUCUCUCUCCGAGAGUUUGACUCUUACGAUCGAUGUCUGCACUCGUGUGCAUGUCGAUCUUGUUUACCUUCUGCAGGUCUGGCGUGCUUAUUGUCUCAGGUCCGACGCACAUCGAUGCACCUUGAUUCUUACCAGCUAACUCUAUGUUUCUUCUUCCUGCAUGCUGUGAGUGCCCACUGUUCACCUUCUGGGUCUGCAAAUUAUCUGCUUCAGUGGUUGGUGAAGCUGGCGGGGCAUCCGUGUUUCCUUUCCCUCCUAAGCCAUUCGUAUCUUCCUGCGUCCUCGAGUCUCUCGUCUCCGUCGGCCCUGGAUCAGGUUCCGAUUUGUUCUUUGGUUCUUCAGUCGAGGCAUACGGCGACUCUGUUUCUAGGACGAUGGGAGUCAUCUCCUCUGUGAUUUCGAUUUCUAUAUUUGUAUUCUCUUCAUCGUCCUCCGUAGGAUUUCCUUCCACCAGCUUUUGUUGGGAUUGAGUCAGUUCUGUGGCUUGUGGAAGGUUAGAGGGAUUCGUAGUUUCUUUUGGUUCGGUGUCCAUUUCUGGUUUCUGUUCAGAUAAAUCUGUUUCGUUUGGGUUUGCUCUGCUGAUAGGAUCGAGGGGUUCUAUUACAGAUUCAGAGUUCGGGGUAUGGAUGGCUUGCUGAGUUGAUGAUGGUUGUGGUGGCCGGGGAGUAUCUCGAGAAGGAGAUGGAGACAUGGAAGCUGCUUCCUGAGUUGACGGUGCUUGGUGUGGCUGGGGAACACCUUGAGCUGGAGAUGGGGAUGUAGAGGAAGCUUCCUCAGGCCAUUGUUGUGGCUGGGGAACACCGUGAGAUGAGGAUGUAGAUAUAGCCGGUGGAGGUGCUGGAGCUUCUGUUCUCGAUACCGGUGGAGACGACGAGCUUGACGAACGAGAAAGACUCCUUGUAGAGGGAGAUGGUUGUUGCUGUCGUUGUUGUCUUAGAAUCACUCGUGAAGGCGGCGAAGCUGAUGUUCCCGGCGGUUGAGUCGGAGGUGGAGCUUUCGACGGUGGAUUCCAAUGUGGGAACCGUAAGCGAAAUGGCUGCUGCCAUUUUGGUCGGUCGGCCAUGAGAGCUGUGAAGCUCGUUAAGUUGAAAGGUAACGGAGAAAGAUAUCAAGACACGAGAAAGGGUAAAGAUGAUCCAAAGGUGCCUCAAUCGUCCAUUAUAUAGCUGCGAGCAGCAGCUGAUCCAAAGUAACCUUUGUAAUAGGGUUUGCAUCUGAUUCCUGUUUUAUGUGGUGCUUUGAAAGAUUGGUAUGUCCGAGAAACUACGCGAGGGGAAACCCAUCCACUUCAAACAUCUAAGUAAAUAUAUCGACUUAACUUUACCUCCACCCGAAGAAUUCCAAUCCGCAAUACAAUUAAUCUAUUAAUAAUCUAAAUCUUUAUUCACUUUCAAUAUAACAACACUAAACUGAGUCAUGUGGUCGACAUUCGAUUAGAUGACGUCUACAUGAGACACACAAACGAUGUGAAAUCGGACCGGACCGGACCGGGCCGGGCAAUUUAUUUCUCGGACCAAGCCCGGCUCAUUGACGGUUCAAGUCCACCCUAUCCUCGCCUCUAUAAAACAGAGCGCGACUAGGGUUUAUGUCCUUCUCCGCCGCUCCUCCAUCCGUCGCAGCCCGCGGUCGCACAGAGCGCGAGAGGAAGGCGAGCUUCGGUUUCCAACAAGAUGGGGUGAGUUUGCCGGAGAACCUGAUCGCGUUAUUUGCUCUUACUUCUUUAGUCGCUUUCUAAUGUUACGUUUGAACGGUCGCUCCGGUGGCUGGAUUUUGUUAUGUCCAUCUUGUUUCGAGCUGAUCGUUCUUGAUUCUUUUACCUGUUUCUCUUAUGGAGGGUGGAUCCUUUUCUUGGCGGUUCAUGAUUAGAAAUUUCAACUUCGAUCGGUUGAUUUCAUUGAUUUGGGCAAUUAUAUGAGAGGACCGAAGAAGAAAAUGACAUUGAUUUGUUGUCUUGGGAAUCCGAAUCGUAUAAUGUUCAUAGAAUUGGAUGAGGAGGAUGCUUUAAAACUGGAUAUUGUUGAGAGCUAUAAUUUUUGUUCUGAUGACUCAAAAAAUAAACUUAUUUUGCCAAGUAUGGGUAUAGAAGUUUUCAUCUAUGCUUAGAUUUUAUAGUUGUUGAAUUGGUACUCAGCAAACCUUUUAUUAUGCCCAAGUUAAUCAUUAUACUUGGGCACGCAUCAUGUUGCAUUUUACCUAAGUUGUUGUUAAGGGUUUGUAGUUUAUACUAUCGCUUGACUGACUACUAUCGCUAUGGACCAGCUCAUGUGGAGGGAUUUCCACACUUUGGUCUGGAACAUUUUGGUGUAACAACAAAAACGAGUAUCUUUUCCGCACAUUGUGGAUAAGCAUUUUCUUUUGGAUUAUCUUGUGAUGUAUGUGUUUCAUGGUUCAAGUUAGUGUGUGUGUGUGUGUGUGUCAUUUAUAUACUUCUUUCCUACCUUAAAAUUCUUGGUUGCUUAUCUCACUUUUUCUUACUGCAACUUAGCAGCAUAUGUAAGAAAUGAAUGUUUUGUUUCCUUUCUUUGUUUUGUUUACUGCAGCCUUACACCAAUUUUCUUGGGUUCGUAUGAGUUGUAAUCAGUAUUCGACUACUUGGCACUACCUAUCUUUAUAUGAAUCAAAUUAUGUGUUUUCUUAUCCCUCUGGUUUGAACAUGUUAGAACAAAAAACAAUGGUGUUGCAUUUGUUAAUUCAGUGUCAUUUAAUUGUGAAGAUGAAAUGUAGUUAUCUAUGACAUAACCAGCUAAUUCAAUUAUGAGUACCUUAUAAGUUUGUGUUUAAGAAAGGCACUGUUCUAGUUUAGAUCUUGAUUAGGAAGCAUACUAUCUGUAGAAAGGAUUUCUUUUUGGCUUCCAAGUGUCAUAGCAAAUUCAUUAGUUCGUGGUGCCUGACUAUUAUACUUGUAACACAUAUGAUAAGAAAUGCAAACCAAGUUUCUAUCACACCUCUCAAAGUAAAGAUAUCAUAUCAAGAAAUUUUUUGAUUGAAGAUGAAUGAUUUUAAUCAGAGGCUCUUGUACAGGAAGACUCGUGGUAUGGGAGCUGGGCGUAAGCUCAAAACUCACAGGAGGAGGCAGAGAUGGGCAGACAAAGCAUACAAGAAAAGUCACCUUGGCAAUGAGUGGAAGAAACCCUUCGCUGGUUCUUCACAUGCCAAGGGUAUCGUCCUUGAGAAGAUGUAUGCCAAGCUAAUUGCUAUUCUUUUUUCCUUUUCUUUCACUUUGACGUUGCUCGUGUUUGGAAGGCUGACAUUGAUUGCAUCUUGCAGAGGUAUUGAAGCUAAGCAGCCAAAUUCUGCUAUCCGAAAGUGUGCUAGAGUUCAGCUGAUAAAGAAUGGGAAGAAAAUUGCGGCCUUUGUUCCAAAUGAUGGUUGCUUAAAUUUCAUAGAAGAAAAUGUAAGUUUUAUAUUUCGAUAUUUUAAACGUCAUUGAGCUCUCCAGAGGAAUGAUCUAAUGCACUUAUAAGGAUUUAAUCAUGAGAGCUGGUAUCGGGCUGGUCUUGCUCGGACUGGUAUUAACCAAUCAGCAUGGUACUGCUAGGGUUUCAUGCCAACUGACAAUGAUCACAUUGCCUGGGGUGUAUAUGCACACUCUCAGCAUGGCACGAAGCCUGUAUCGGGACCUGCUUUGAACAGCCUGCACACCCCAUGAUCAUGGCACUUCCUCGUCAUAAUCUUUGAUCGAUCACCUCUUCAUCUAUAAAUUGUUAUUGAACUGCAUUGCUUUUGCAGGAUGAAGUGUUGAUUGCCGGGUUCGGGCGUAAGGGCCAUGCAGUCGGUGAUAUUCCUGGAGUAAGGUUUAAGGUUGUGAAGGUGUCUGGUGUCUCCCUUUUGGCACUGUUCAAGGAAAAGAAGGAGAAACCUCGAUCGUAAUGCUUUACUUUGAGUUUCUAGAUGAGACCAGUCGGCCUUUUGUUUAAUUCAUAUUUAGCGACUCUGAGCAAUUUCUGAACUGUUUUGGAAAAGAAAGAUGUUUCAUGGUUAUUCAUCAUUGAGCACUUAAUUAUUUGUUUGGCCUGUUAAGUUAAUUGUCGUAGUUUUUGAUCUCUUCGUAAGACACUUGAAAAUUAUUAUGUUCAUUUGAGGUGGAACUUCUCUUUGCCGUUCUGAACACAGCAUUUCAAGAAUUGGAAACACAGAAGGGUUUGUGCUAUGUAGGGUGUCAAGAAUUGGAAACACCUAAUGGUUGUUGCAACAUCAACAUGAAAAUUUAUGAGUAAUAAGCUCGAUCACCAAGGAUUCUCUUGCUCUGCUUUCUCGUGCCAUUAAAGAUGAUGACAUCGUAGAGGUUGGGUGUCCGAGGCAGCAAGCAAUCAAAGCCAAACCAAGUUCUUGAUGGACAACCUUGGGGUGUUUCACGUGGAUUUGCUUUACCAUUGAUUGAUAUGAUCGUUCUUUUCGAUUCGAAGAUGCAUCGUAUCAAUUAAUUAAUCAUGUCACGUCAACAUAACAUAUAAAAGAAAUAUGUUAUUAUUAUUAUUAUUAAAAAAACUUAAUCGUAUGUAAUCAACGAUCAUUAUAAAAUAUAUAUUAUAAUACAUAGUGGUCAUUAAGUAUGUUUUAAAUCCAAAUUCAUUAAAUUAAUUUUUAGUACUCUUAAAUUCUUACAAGCAUAAUAAUACACCAAAACUAAUUUAAUAAUAAAAAAGAUUUUGCUCAAUGUUUUCCUGCCCAACCGGAAAAAUACGGGAAGUUAAUAAUGGACGGUAUGAGAUUCUUCCGACACGGGCGUCCGUCUCAAAGCUCCUCAUAGGCUACUACAAAUAUCUUCCCGUCUUCGCUGUCCCGAACCCUCGUCUCUCCGCCUUACUCUCUCACCUUGAUCCAUGGCUUCCCUCGACACCGACGUCAACAUGGUUCCUGCCGGCGAGGGGUCCAGCGCCGGGCCCUCCUCCUCGAAGAAACCCAAGAGGUUCGAGAUCAAGAAGUGGAACGCCGUCGCGCUUUGGGCCUGGGGUAUGUGCCCGAUCGCCACACCCUCGUAGCAGUUUUAGGGUUUCGAAUCUUGGUUCUUUAUCCGUGGAUCUCAUCGAUUGAUGCACCCAUUUGAUGCGAUCGUUGCAGAUAUCGUGGUGGAUAACUGCGCUAUUUGUAGGAACCACAUCAUGGACCUCUGUGAGCUGUCUUUCCCCUUCUAUGAUUUCUUAAUUGUCUGUCUUGGUUACUGAUUUUUCGUGCGCUAGCGUUAGGGUUUCUGAUCUGUUUGUUCUGGCUUUGACAUUCUUGGUCCUGAAACAUCUUUGCAGGCAUCGAGUGCCAGGCUAAUCAGGCGAGUGCGACGAGUGAAGAGUGCACAGUGGCUUGGGGUAUGCUUCAUGAUUUCGAAACUUGACCAAUCUAAGUUCUUCUUUGAUUUCUUGUUUAUAAUGAUUAUCGUAUGAACUUUUUUCCUUCAUGAGAAUUAUGUAAGCAACAAACUUAUUAGUCCUUUUGACUUUUGAGUAUGAUGCAUCUUAAUCUCGUAAAUUUCUUUUAUGCUGUCUAUAUGGUAAAGUAAAUUUCUGCUUUGAUGGUCUAUACUUGUUCACAUGCGAUAAAUUAGGCAGCAGCAGUUCGUCCUACAGCCCAACUUGGAUAUUUUUUAGGCCACUUUUCUUGGCCUAAAAAAUGGAUCUUCCUUGUCAUACUAAUUCCUUUUACACAUAUCCAAUUUUCUUGAGCCUUCAUGCAUCGCACAAGGUGUGAUAAUGGUGCAAUUGCAAGAAAACAAGAAAAUUGCAAGUGGAAAAGGAAAGGUGGAGAAAGAAUGAGAAGUUGCUGUCAUCUUGAGGACUUGUAGAGUAGUUUCCCCUGACACUAGUUAUAAACAUGAUGUUGAGGGAAUUCUCAGGAAGUGUUGGCAUCCAUCACAAUGGUCUCAAAGAUUCUUUUUCUUUUACUUUAUAGAAGACGGACAAGUAUGUUGUCUAAAUAUAACUUAACCUUCGUAGCCAUCUGAAGAAAACUGAACCCAGGCUUUGAUAUUGUGGAUAAGACAUGAUUUAUGUGAGUCAAUCUUUUGUUGAACUCCCAGAUCCAUGAUGGCAUGUCAUUUUCAAGUUUGGUCAUCUUGCUUUUUUCUUAUAGGGAAGAUUCCUUUUGUUGCAAGAGCCACAAGGUUACAAUUUCUUUUUUACUUCUGAAUAGUCAUAUGGAUUUGAAAAUUUUGAUUGCAGAAAUGAUCGAUUAUUUGGUGCCGGAUUUGAUCAGUUGGAUUAGACAAAAUUAAUAGGAGGAUAGGGGCUUUGCAACUUAAUAUGUAGUUCAAUUUUUAAAAUUAUUGGCUACUAUAAUAGGAAAUUUGAACUCUAAAUUUGAAUGAUGAAUGAAAAUUCUUCAACUUUCCACUUCUGUGGAAAGAUAAUGGGGUUUUCCUGAUUACAUGAUUUUAAUUUCUCUCCACUUCUCUUUGAAAGUUUGUUUCUGGACCAAAGGAAACUACGUUCUUUCCACUUGUUUAACUGUUAUAACCAUUCUCAAAGUAUAUUUCACUCCUUACUUUCUUUCGUUGCCUCUUCUUUCAAUUCAAAAUAGGUUAUUGGAUUUGUAAAAUGAUAGGUGCUGGUUAUGGGCCUUCUCAACAAUUCACAGCACACUUGAAAUUGAAGACAUUUUUGUGUUCACAACAUAUAGAUUCUUUUGGGAAUUAGUUUAUGAGUCAAUUUUUAUGUUGGGAAAAGUUGGAAUUGUUUCCAAGGUGAAAGUUUAUGUGAAUAGAGUUAUAGAUGGUUGGUUAUGUUUCUUGCUGUUCACGGAUUAAUUUCAAUUUUUUCUUUGUCGUCGGUUAGUUUGGACUUUUAUCUAAUUAUGAGUCUAGAGAUUUCCAAAAUGACUUUUAGAAAUACUAACAAAAAUAUCUGGGUAUGACUUGGAUGCCCUAGCUAGAUGAGGUCGAUCCUCUCAAGUCUGAUUUCAUCGGAUCUCCUUUUGACUAGGAGAUCAAUCCGAUCUAGAUGCAGUUUGAUAUUUUCCAGUUACGAAACUUUAUUCCGUCAUUGCAUGUUCCAACAAGCUGGGUGAUAGGCUACCACAUCUGGAGCAUGGCUGGCUAGGACCGUCAUGUAAACAGAUGGUGCCGACUGGUGGUUGGUUUUGAUCAGAUAUCUAGAGCUACCAAUGAGCUUGUGCAAAGUGAUGCGGUGUUCUUGAAAGAUUAAUGCCAAUCCAAGUUAGGCGUUAGGCAUCGACUUUCAUAUAAUCUUUUAGGAUGAGUCUUGAGCUGCCAGUGUUGUCUUUUGGUAUGAAGAAGAGAUCAUGUGAUCAUUUGUAUUAUAAAUAAAGAUCAAGUCAGCAUUGUAAGUAAUUUUGUUAAGCUUGUACUUGGCUAAAACUGUCCCUUGUAGAUUUUCAACAUGGUCCAACCGUGAUGGUUCCAGGCCAAGUAGGCCUUGAAUUAGAUAGGAUUUGGAUCAUAAUAAUAGGCCUAUCCUACAAAAUGUUAUCCACGAGAUGGAGAAACAAUCUUGAUCAUUUUAUCUGUUUUAUUUAACUUUUUGUAUGCAUGAGUUGAAUUCACAUAUAACCAUUAUAUGAACUUCAGGACAUGUUGGAGAGUCAUUAUCAGUGACACAUUAUCUGCUGCUGUUGAAAAUACUUUCAUUUAUCAUGGUCUUUUGAACAUCAUCAUCAUCAACAACAACAAUGAACAACGUGUACUAUCAAAGAUUUUUAAUACUUUCUAUAUAUUUCAAGGAACACUUUUUCUGUGAACAUUGUGAAAUGGCAGUAGUAGGGCCAUGGAACCAGUGAGUUAUGGUGAAUGGAUAGUUGUGUUUUUGUUUUAAAACUUAAAAUGCUCAUCCACCUGUCUUUAACAUCCAUUAGUAAAGAAAGAUCAUGGAUACCCUGUCUUUGCACGGUAAUGGAUACCCUUAAAUUGGAUACAAAGACAACAAGUUUGUUUUGAUGAUCAUCUUUAGCACCUGAAUAGAUGCUACUGAAUUUAAUUUUGUCCACUGAUUUAUUUCAAUGGUUUAACUUUGUGUUCUUUCUUGACGGCCGCGGCAUGCUUUGCUCCAAACAGGUGUCUGCAAUCAUGCCUUCCAUUUCCAUUGUAUCAGUCGGUGGCUCAAGACUCGUCAAGUUUGCCCUCUGGGUAAUUAAUCUUUUACUACCAAUUCCUCUCAAAAUUUUUAUUUUUAUUUUUAUUUUACUACCGUAGUCUUGCAUUGACAAAAAACUCUUAAUACAUCUCCAGACAACAGCGAGUGGGAAUUCCAGAAGUAUGGUCAUUAGAAUAGAUGACUUCGCUGCAGGUGAUAUUUGCCAACAGAGUGCAUCCAGCUUUUGUAUCCUCGUGCUUCCUCUCCUGAUUUCCAUGUGUGUGUCAGUGUGGAAUUUUAGAACAUGUCAAUUGAUCGUCCACUGAUUGCUGCCGUCUGUAAACCAACACAACAAACAUCUUAUCAUUUAAUGCCUCGUUGUGAAGGCUGCUACAUCAUCGUUCAAUAAGUUUACCUGACAGCCUUCUUUCUUGAGAUUUGAGUUUCCUUACUCUUUCCCUGACAGCCUACUUUCUUGAGAUUGAGUUUCCUUACUCUCUCACCUGCCGUCACCAGAAGCUCACCCCCGGUCCUCGUACGCAUCCCUCGACGGGCCGGUGCCUUGUAAAUCUCAAUAUGGAUAUGGUCUGGCAAAACCCGGCCCGGCCCAUUAAUUGGCGAAACCAAUGACCUCAUGCGUGACUUCACGUAGCUAAUCUCCCGGGGCCCAGGCGGCUUUCGUCAGAAGACAGCAUUGUGCAUGUAUUCCAAUCUUGUGAUUUCUACCAACGCGAUCAAUCUUAUCAUAGAACAGUGACAGACACGUGGGAUGGAUUUUAUUAUAAAUUAUUUAGGGAAGGCAUCCGCGUGAAACGGUCGACCUUCUGGAAGCUCUACGCGUCCUGCUUAUCCUCCUCCGAGGGAAGCAACCAUGCAACAGUCGACCUGGGUCGGUCGCCUACCAUUUCCACCAACCACGCAUCCCUCGCCACUUAAUUGGACAACUCCAACCAUCCACACAACGGUCCAGAAUUCGACCUUCGCCGUGUGUCCCACCAUCGAUAAGUGGAGCCCAUUGCGUCGGACUUUCGAUGAUAACUAAUGGAAACCUGAACCCUGACGACGAUGACGCGGUCCUUCCAUUUGUCCGCUCCCUCUUUAUAGCCCUCGUUCGCUCUGCUUCCACGACACCGCGGACCAAGCAAGGGAGGAUGACGACGGAACCGCUCGGGAAGCCGGCCCUCGAGGCCUCUCCCAGCUUCGGCGGCGCCUCCGCCUCCGCAUCCGUCGACGAGAACGAGCCGGCGUCCGAUGCAUCCAACUCUGCCUCUCGCCACGAUUUUUCCGCUCACCAAGUUAGUCCGUCGGAGGCGGAGGAGAAGAACGCGGACGACGAAGACGACGACGACGACGACUCCGGCGAUGAAUUCGAGUUCACGUUCGCGGUGAGGGACGCCGAUGCGUUUCCCUCCGUCACCGCGGACGAGAUCUUUUCCGGCGGCCGGAUCAUACCCACCUACCCCGUCUUCAACCGCGACCUCCUCCUCCCUCUUUCCGCCGCCGACGAGCCGACGAUCACAGAAAAGGAUCAGGCCGACCAGAUUCCGUUCGGACGGCUCCAGAUCGUGACAGGGGCGGAGUCUUCGACGGAGGAGCCGGCGGCGGCCGGAGAGCACUUCCCGGGUGGGGCAGACCGGUGCAAGAAGAGCGCCUCGACCGGAUCGUCGAUGCAGUGGCGGCUACGUGACAUGGUCGGCCGGAGCCACAGCGACGGGAAGGAAAAGUUCGUGUUCCUCGAGGCGUCGGCCAAAAAGAACAUCACGAGUCCCAACACCGCGAGAGCGGCGGCAGCAGGUGGGAAGGGGGCGAAGGAGGGAGGGCGGUUAGCGGAGGUUGAUGCGGUCACCGGCCACCGUCGGUUCCACGGCAAGGGAACAAGCGAGAAGGCGGUGAAGGGACCGAGGCGGUCCUUCUUACCGUACCGACAACAGCUCCUGGGGUUGUUUGCUCCAGUGAACGGCCUCCGCCGGUCACAUCACC